rnacentral:lncRNA from 1 species
CAGACAUUGAGAGUAAUUUCAACAAUUUCUGAAUGGCAAGAAAGUCAUUAGAAAGACACGAGGUUAUACUCUCAGCUAACAAGUUUAUUAGCACCCCGUAUAUCAACCUAUUGAUACUGUAAGAGGAGAUUUAUUUUUGUGAAUAAUUGUGUAAAAGAAAAUAUGAUUUCUAUGAUGGUUAAUGAUUUGAUAAAUAUAUUCUUUAUAUAAUUAUUUAGAUUGGGGAACUACUUCUUCCUGUGUAGUUUGUAUCCAUAGGGUUCACCGUAGUUAGGUUGGGCGGAGUGAUACGCCGCACACGAGGCUAGUUUCAAGUUUGUUACCGGCGACAAGGGUGCAACUUGUCUGUUUUCUUGAGCGGAGAAUAAAACAUAUACAAGUUGCUCUGAAGAAGCUGUCCCCGUGCUGUUCUUACCCACGACCCCAAAAAUAGACUUUAUUAAGGUGACGCUAACUUACACCCAGCGUUACAAUACCAUAAGUCCGGUGGUCUAAUAAAAGAGUGUUUAUUAGACCAUCACGUUUUCUAAUAACUUUGCUCUGAUUCUUCAGAGAAUAUUUUGAUGGAUAUUAACAGUUAUUCAACCUUCCUUAAAUUUAAAUUUAACAGAAAAUGCUGCUGCGUGUCUCGUUUGGCGGAGUGCAGAAGUACAUGAAGCUGCCUGAACUAACAUUCGGUGAUUUCUUGAGAGAAGUGAGUCUAAAAUUUAACAUUGCUGAAGACAGACGGUUGGACAUCAAGGUUUAUGACCAGUCUAACACAGAGGUCGACUCUGAAGUUUUUGAGGAGAUCGUACAAGAGUUCCAUGGACCUUUCCUAAUUUCAUUGGCCAAUGAAGCACCUGGUAAUUGCUGCCUACCUGCAUAAGACUACACACACAUCGUUGAAGUGGAAGUGUUGAACUAUGUAAUUGUGUUCUUAUUUCCCAAUGCUCAGGUUACCCUCAGUCCACGUCAUCUCCAUGCUCUAUUGCAUCUGAAGACACAGUGAUCCUCAACUUCUCGUUGUGUGACCCAGCUGAGGAGCCAGUUGCAGCCGAAGGAAGUCAACCUAAAAGGCCUUGCCGCAUUAACUAUGAAGCAAAAGCUGUGAGUUGUGUGUGUGUGGGGAGUUUGAUUCACAUGUUUAAUUUGAGGUGCAUCUUAUUUGUUUCAUAAUUUCCAAGUAUUUUUCAAAAUACAAUACUGCACAUUUUAUUUCUUACCUGAUUGAAAAAAUCUUGACGACAAAGCCUGGAGGUGACCGUGUCAUGGAGGAGUAUGCGAAAACGAAAUCAUUUACAGAUUCAACCAGAAGACAGCUCAUCAACAUACUUACUGCAGAGAUGACGGAAACACAUGGGUAAGUAUGGAUCAAAUAUGUUAUCAUGAGACAUUGUUUAAACAUAGCAAUUAUUGUUUAGAUCAUGUUGUUCAAUGCUAUCUAUGAAUGUUGAUUAUUGAAUACACCAGCACAUCGCCGCCCCGGAGUGUAAAAGUGAUGUAUGCACAGGGGAUUGUCGCUCUGUUUCCAUACCUUGAAGACCCAUAUUCACAGAAUGGCUAUGUAAGUAAAGGUUUUAAAAUAUAUUUGCCCUUCGAACUGCUGAGAUUUACAUUUACAUUUAUGCAUUUAGCAGACGCUUUUAUCCAGAGCUCAGAGAUCAUAUGAAUGUAUAUAUCACACUGUGCCUACAUUAUACAUAGGAACAUUACUACGAUCCUGAAAGUGGUUCAGGCUACAUUGCAUGGCGGUUGAAGACAAUUCAACGAAAAGCUGCUGAGGAAAGAGGUCCUGCAGUUAGUACAUCUCCUAAAGGUAAUAUUUAUCAUGAGGUGGAAUUAUCAACCUGUGAAAUGCGUUUAAAGGAGGAUAUGAAACUGUGUAGUUAUUAACAGCAACAACAAAAUUGUCUUGUUCUAAAGUUGGUGGGCCAGGCCAUGGGCGUACUAGACCCUUUACUGCCGACAGAGUCCUGACUGACGAGGAAGUGGAAUGCGCUAUCGCUUUGUUGAGACACACUGCUGAUG